GACAGAGGUCUCAAGCGUUAGGCGGAAUCACUGGGCUUAAAGCGUGUGUAGGCGGAGUCCCAAGUACCUUGUGAAAUCCCCGGGCUUAACCCGGGAACUGCUUGGUAUACUGGGUCUCUUGAGCCAACUAGGGGCGACCGGAACAAACGGUGGAGCGGUGAAAUGCGUAGAUAUCGUUUGGAACGCCAAUGGUGAAAACAGGUCGCUGGGGUUGUGCUGACGCUGAGACACGAAAGCCAGGGGAGCGAACGGG
rnacentral:rRNA from 1 species